UCUAUAUAGAACCAGAGGUCUAUUUUUUUUUGUAUGUAUAUUAGACAGUGGCAUGAGUUAUAUAUCUACAGCUAGAGUAGUCUCUAAGAUCGACCCACUUGACUGUUUUCAGGCCUUGUCCACUCCAUUGACAAUAAAAAAUGUCUGAUUCUCCACUUGUCAAGGACUGGAGUCUGGAUCAUGAAACAUCGGGAGCACUUUUUGAACCUAUUAA
rnacentral:sRNA from 1 species